GGGUUGUGAGGUUAAGCGACUAAGCGUACACGGUGGAUGCCCUGGCAGUCAGAGGCGAUGAAGGACGUGCUAAUCUGCGAUAAGCGUCGGUAAGGUGAUAUGAACCGUUAUAACCGGCGAUUUCCGAAUGGGGAAACCCAGUGUGUUUCGACACACUAUCAUUAACUGAAUCCAUAGGUUAAUGAGGCGAACCGGGGGAACUGAAACAUCUAAGUACCCCGAGGAAAAGAAAUCAACCGAGAUUCCCCCAGUAGCGGCGAGCGAACGGGGAGCAGCCCAGAGCCUGAAUCAGUGUGUGUGUUAGUGGAAGCGUCUGGAAAAGCGCGCGAUACAGGGUGACAGCCCCGUACACAAAAAUGCACAUGCUGUGAGCUCGAUGAGUAGGGCGGGACACGUGGUAUCCUGUCUGAAUAUGGGGGGACCAUCCUCCAAGGCUAAAUACUCCUGACUGACCGAUAGUGAACCAGUACCGUGAGGGAAAGGCGAAAAGAACCCCGGCGAGGGGAGUGAAAAAGAACCUGAAACCGUGUACGUACAAGCAGUGGGAGCACGCUUCGGCGUGUGACUGCGUACCUUUUGUAUAAUGGGUCAGCGACUUAUAUUCUGUAGCAAGGUUAACCGAAUAGGGGAGCCGAAGGGAAACCGAGUCUUAACUGGGCGUUAAGUUGCAGGGUAUAGACCCGAAACCCGGUGAUCUAGCCAUGGGCAGGUUGAAGGUUGGGUAACACUAACUGGAGGACCGAACCGACUAAUGUUGAAAAAUUAGCGGAUGACUUGUGGCUGGGGGUGAAAGGCCAAUCAAACCGGGAGAUAGCUGGUUCUCCCCGAAAGCUAUUUAGGUAGCGCCUCGUGAAUUCAUCUCCGGGGGUAGAGCACUGUUUCGGCAAGGGGGUCAUCCCGACUUACCAACCCGAUGCAAACUGCGAAUACCGGAGAAUGUUAUCACGGGAGACACACGGCGGGUGCUAACGUCCGUCGUGAAGAGGGAAACAACCCAGACCGCCAGCUAAGGUCCCAAAGUCAUGGUUAAGUGGGAAACGAUGUGGGAAGGCCCAGACAGCCAGGAUGUUGGCUUAGAAGCAGCCAUCAUUUAAAGAAAGCGUAAUAGCUCACUGGUCGAGUCGGCCUGCGCGGAAGAUGUAACGGGGCUAAACCAUGCACCGAAGCUGCGGCAGCGACGCUGAUGCGUUGUUGGGUAGGGGAGCGUUCUGUAAGCCUGUGAAGGUGUGCUGUGAGGCAUGCUGGAGGUAUCAGAAGUGCGAAUGCUGACAUAAGUAACGAUAAAGCGGGUGAAAAGCCCGCUCGCCGGAAGACCAAGGGUUCCUGUCCAACGUUAAUCGGGGCAGGGUGAGUCGACCCCUAAGGCGAGGCCGAAAGGCGUAGUCGAUGGGAAACAGGUUAAUAUUCCUGUACUUGGUGUUACUGCGAAGGGGGGACGGAGAAGGCUAUGUUGGCCGGGCGACGGUUGUCCCGGUUUAAGCGUGUAGGCUGGUUUUCCAGGCAAAUCCGGAAAAUCAAGGCUGAGGCGUGAUGACGAGGCACUACGGUGCUGAAGCAACAAAUGCCCUGCUUCCAGGAAAAGCCUCUAAGCAUCAGGUAACAUCAAAUCGUACCCCAAACCGACACAGGUGGUCAGGUAGAGAAUACCAAGGCGCUUGAGAGAACUCGGGUGAAGGAACUAGGCAAAAUGGUGCCGUAACUUCGGGAGAAGGCACGCUGAUAUGUAGGUGAAGUCCCUUGCGGAUGGAGCUGAAAUCAGUCGAAGAUACCAGCUGGCUGCAACUGUUUAUUAAAAACACAGCACUGUGCAAACACGAAAGUGGACGUAUACGGUGUGACGCCUGCCCGGUGCCGGAAGGUUAAUUGAUGGGGUUAGCGGUAACGCGAAGCUCUUGAUCGAAGCCCCGGUAAACGGCGGCCGUAACUAUAACGGUCCUAAGGUAGCGAAAUUCCUUGUCGGGUAAGUUCCGACCUGCACGAAUGGCGUAAUGAUGGCCAGGCUGUCUCCACCCGAGACUCAGUGAAAUUGAACUCGCUGUGAAGAUGCAGUGUACCCGCGGCAAGACGGAAAGACCCCGUGAACCUUUACUAUAGCUUGACACUGAACAUUGAGCCUUGAUGUGUAGGAUAGGUGGGAGGCUUUGAAGUGUGGACGCCAGUCUGCAUGGAGCCGACCUUGAAAUACCACCCUUUAAUGUUUGAUGUUCUAACGUUGACCCGUAAUCCGGGUUGCGGACAGUGUCUGGUGGGUAGUUUGACUGGGGCGGUCUCCUCCUAAAGAGUAACGGAGGAGCACGAAGGUUGGCUAAUCCUGGUCGGACAUCAGGAGGUUAGUGCAAUGGCAUAAGCCAGCUUGACUGCGAGCGUGACGGCGCGAGCAGGUGCGAAAGCAGGUCAUAGUGAUCCGGUGGUUCUGAAUGGAAGGGCCAUCGCUCAACGGAUAAAAGGUACUCCGGGGAUAACAGGCUGAUACCGCCCAAGAGUUCAUAUCGACGGCGGUGUUUGGCACCUCGAUGUCGGCUCAUCACAUCCUGGGGCUGAAGUAGGUCCCAAGGGUAUGGCUGUUCGCCAUUUAAAGUGGUACGCGAGCUGGGUUUAGAACGUCGUGAGACAGUUCGGUCCCUAUCUGCCGUGGGCGCUGGAGAACUGAGGGGGGCUGCUCCUAGUACGAGAGGACCGGAGUGGACGCAUCACUGGUGUUCGGGUUGUCAUGCCAAUGGCACUGCCCGGUAGCUAAAUGCGGAAGAGAUAAGUGCUGAAAGCAUCUAAGCACGAAACUUGCCCCGAGAUGAGUUCUCCCUGACUCCUUGAGAGUCCUGAAGGAACGUUGAAGACGACGACGUUGAUAGGCCGGGUGUGUAAGCGCAGCGAUGCGUUGAGCUAACCGGUACUAAUGAACCGUGAGGCUUAACCUUACAACGCCGAAGGUGUUU
rnacentral:rRNA from 1 species